GAUGAACGCUGGCGGCGUGCCUAAUACAUGCAAGUCGAGCGAACAGACGAGGAGCUUGCUCCUCUGACGUUAGCGGCGGACGGGUGAGUACACGUGGAUAACCUACCUAUAAGACUGGGAUAACUUCGGGAAACCGGAGCUAAUACCGGAUAAUAUAUUGAACCGCAUGGUUCAAUAGUGAAAGACGGUUUUGCUGUCACUUAUAGAUGGAUCCGCGCCGCAUUAGCUAGUUGGUAAGGUAACGGCUUACCAAGACGACGAUGCGUAGCCGACCUGAGAGGGUGAUCGGCCACACUGGAACUGAGACACGGUCCAGACUCCUACGGGAGGCAGCAGUAGGGAAUCUUCCGCAAUGGGCGAAAGCCUGACGGAGCAACGCCGCGUGAGUGAUGAAGGUCUUCGGAUCGUAAAACUCUGUUAUUAGGGAAGAACAAAUGUGUAAGUAACUAUGCACGUCUUGACGGUACCUAAUCAGAAAGCCACGGCUAACUACGUG
rnacentral:rRNA from 1 species